CCCUUAGAUGUUCUGGGCCGCACGCGCGCUACACUGAUGCAUGCAACGAGUUCUGUCCUUGGCCGGAAGGCCUGGGUAAUCUGUGAACGUGCAUCGUGAUAGGGAUAGAUUAUUGCAAUUAUUAAUCUUGAACGAGGAGUUCCUAGUAAACGCAAGUCAUCAGCUUGCAUUGAUUACGUCCCUGCCCUUUGUACACACCGCCCGUCGCACCUACCGAUCGAAGGUAAUGAUGAGCCCUCAGGAUUGUGGCCUCGUCGCGUCAGCGUCUUGGCUGCGAGAAUCUGUGCAAAUCCCUACCUUUAGAGGAAGGUGAAGUCGUAACA
rnacentral:rRNA from 1 species